rnacentral:tRNA from 1 species
GUCCCAGUAGCAUGAUCGGUAGUGCACAGCCCCGGAUAGGUUGAGACGGGGGUUCGAAUCCCGCCUGAGAUG